UGGGGAAUAUUGCACAAUGGGCGAAAGCCUGAUGCAGCAACGCCGCGUGAGUGAUGAAGGUCUUCGGAUUGUAAAGCUCUGUCUUUUGGGACGAUAAUGACGGUACCAAAGGAGGAAGCCACGGCUAACUACGUGCCAGCAGCCGCGGUAAUACGUAGGUGGCGAGCGUUGUCCGGAUUUACUGGGCGUAAAGGGUGCGUAGGCGGAUGUUUAAGUGAGAUGUGAAAUACCCGGGCUUAACUUGGGUGCUGCAUUUCAAACUGGAUAUCUAGAGUGCAGGAGAGGAGAAUGGAAUUCCUAGUGUAGCGGUGAAAUGCGUAGAGAUUAGGAAGAACACCAGUGGCGAAGGCGAUUCUCUGGACUGUAACUGACGCUGAGGCACGAAAAGCGUGGGUAGCAAACAGGAUUAGAUACCCUGGUAGUCCACGCCGUAAAACGAUGAGUACUAGGUGUAGGAGGUAUCGACCCCUUCUGUGCCGCAGUAAAACACAUUAAAGUAC
rnacentral:rRNA from 1 species